GACCUGCACGAAGGCCGCCAUUGCGAAGAAGGCGGCCAUGAGCCCGUUGCAAGCCCGCCACAGGGAAGGCGCCAUGGCUCGGGGAGCGCGGCGGCGCGGGGCGGCGACUCCUGCCUGGUACGGACCGAUGACAAUCCCAUGGCUCAGAGAGUGUAACCUGGCCAACAUCACCCAGCUAACAAGUGUUGAAGAUCAGAGUGGGACUGACUGCUCAUCUCCUUCUACAUCAUUUACUAGUUACCACUCCUGUGUGUUGAGGCAGCCUCGAUAUUUGCACAGCUGAGAGAGACCCACUGGGAUGUUUGAUGCAAAGCCAGGGAGCCCCUCUGCCCUUGUUUCCCCCUUCCCUCUUCUGGAAUGUUCUAUCCAAGGUCUUCACGUGGCUGCCUCAUCUUUAUUCAGGUCUGAGCACAAACGUUCCCUCUCUAGAGAGGCCUCCUGCAGCCAGAAUCCUAAGUAGCCCCUCCUCGUCUCUCUCCUUCACCCGGUUUCUCGGCUGCACAGCCCUCAUCUCUCUCUGACAUCUUCCUCAUUUGAUGCUGUCCUUGUUUGUGGCCUGUCUGCUCUUGGCAGGGGGAAG